rnacentral:piRNA from 1 species
CCAAGUCUGAUGGUUAAUACUGGGUGUC